rnacentral:lncRNA from 1 species
AUAUUCUUUACAUGUUAAAUUCAUUUUGUGUAUUCUUGAGGAAAUUUCUUAUUUAAAUCCAAAGAAAAAACUAGUUAUUAUUUAUGGUUUAAUUUUCUCCAGGGAUGAGUCACUUCUAUGCCAAGGACUAGCUCUUAAUGAUGAUCUGCAGCGUGUACUUUCCAAGCAUGAAUCCAUUUCUUCGGGAGCUGCUGUUCAAAAUCACAAGCAUGAAUCCAUUUCUUCAGGAGCUGCUGUUCAAAAUCACACUGAGAAACCAAAUCCUGAACCUAGUGGAGCACUUAUAGAUGUUGAUGGUCCUUUGAUUGAUACUGGAGAUACUAGUAAACAAACUGAUGCGAG